rnacentral:rRNA from 1 species
UACGUAGGCAGCAAGCGUUGUUCGGAGUUACUGGGCGUAAAGGGUGUGUAGGCGGUUUUCUAAGUCUGGGGUGAAAUCUCCCGGCUCAACUGGGAGGGUGCGCCGAAAACUGGAAGGCUAGAGUGCGGGAUGGGAGAGUGGAAUUCCUGGUGUAGCGGUGAAAUGCGUAGAUAUCAGGAGGAACACCUGUGGUGUAGACGGCUCUCUGGACCGCAACUGACGCUGAGACACGAAAGCGUGGGUAGCAAACAGG